AAGAAGGGGCAGAGACAGAGACAGAGACAGAAAGAAGGGGCAGAGACAGAGACAGAGUAAGAAAGAAGGGGCAGAGACACAGACAGAAGGAAGGGGCAGAGACAGAAAGAAGGGGCAGAGACAGAAAGAAGGGGCAGAGACAGAGACAGAACGAAGGGGCAGAGACAGAGACAGAAAGAAGGGGCAGAGACAGAGACAGAAAGAAGGGGCAGAGACAGAGACAGAAAGAAGGUGCAGAGACAGAGACAGAAAGAAGGUGCAGAGAAAGAGACAGAGACAGAAAGAAGGGGCAGAGACAGAGACAGAGUAAGAAAGAAGGGGCAGAGACAGAGGCAGAGACAGAAAGAAGGGGCAGAGACAGAGACAGAAAGAAGGGGCAGAGACAGAGGCAGAAAGAAGGGGCAGAGACAGAGGCAGAAAGAAGGUGCAGAGACAGAGGCAGAAAGAAGGGGCAGAGACAGAGACAGAGACAGAAAGAAGGGGCAGAGACAGACAGAAAGAAGGGGCAGAAACAGAGACAGAAAGAAGGUGCAGAGACAGAGACAUAGACAGAAAGAAGGGGCAGAGACAGAGACAGAAAGAAGGUGCAGAGACAGAGACAUAGACAGAAAGAAGGGGCAGAGACAGAGACAGAAAGAAGGUGCAGAGACAGAGACA
ensembl:lncRNA